GACGAACGCUGGCGGCGUGCUUAACACAUGCAAGUCGAACGGAAAGGCCCUGCGUUUGCGGGGUGCUCGAGUGGCGAACGGGUGAGUAACACGUGAGUAACCUGCCCUUGACUGUGGGAUAACUUCAGGAAACUGGGGCUAAUACCGGAGAGGAGCUCCUGCUGCACGGUGGGGGUUGGAAAGUGUCGGCGGUUGGGUAUGGACUCGCGGCUUAUCAGCUUGUUGGGGGGGUAGUGGCUUACCAAGGCUUUGACGGGUAGCCGGCCUGAGAGGGUGAGCGGCGACAUUGGGACUGACAUACGGCCCAGACUCCUACGGGAGGCAGCAGUGGGUAAUAUUGCACAAUGGGCGGAAGCCUGAUGCAGCAGCGCCGCGUGCGGGAUGACGGUCUUCGGGUUGUAAACCGCUUUCGCCUGUGACGAAGCGUGAGUGACGGUAAUGGGUAAAGAAGCACCGGCUAACUACGUG
rnacentral:rRNA from 1 species